UCUGCUCCAGCUGUCCCUGUUGUUGCCAGUUAAAGUUGCAGCCGCUGUUAAAGGAGCUAGCUAAGCCUCCCUGGCCAAGGUUACUUGUCAAUGUCAUCAUCAUUGCUCCUGCUGAUAAAUUUAGCCUUGACUUGCUUAUAAAUUAAUAUAAGCUGCAGCUGUAUGAUGGAGUAUUUCUUGGAGGCUGCUCUUCCAGGGGGUAAGAAGAGGAAGACGUGCCCUUUUCUUAGCACAUGCUGUCCUUGUGAAAACUGCUACUCCCAGCUGCUACUAGACGCUCGCCAAGAAGGCUGGAGUUACUGAACCAAUCUCCUCCUUGCAACCCAGCUCCCCGCUGCCUGGGCCUGAAAACGGCUCUGACAGCAACUGCUUAAAGCCCAGGGAAGGAAGGAAGGCUCCAACACUGCCAUUCUCACCCAUUCCCUUUGCCCAAUAUUGGAUCCUUCCUUUCUUGCAGGCCCAAAUGGGGCUCUAGCAGCAACCUCCUCAAGAGCAUUAUAAUUAAUGUUACAAAAUACAAAUAAUGCAAAGUGCAUUUCCUUCCAAAAUACUUUUUGUAGGAAUAGGAGGCCAAUAGAAAAGUUAUUUAUAAAAAUUAGAUUUAUGAUCAUAUUUUGAGAUAUCAUAGCACAACUGCUAAAGAAGGAAGCAUCCAAUGCUUAGCAAAGGGAGGGAGCAGGAAUGGUGACGUUGCAUCCUUCCUUCCUUACCUGCAUUUAAGGCAAGGAAGGAAGCCUUGUUCACAAGCUGGAUUGCCAUGAGGAAGAGACAGCCAGAGAAAGCAGCAUUGAACAUUUGGAAACACGAUUUAGGCACUGAAGGAAAAGAAGCAGGCACAUCGACCAAGGGAAUGUCAAGAUGGCAAAUGUUAAGAGUUCUAGAUGGACAUUAGCAACACAAAGAAAAAAAGUAGUGGUAAUCUAACUCCAGCAAGAGAGGCACGUGGAAGUGGAGGCCAGGAGUCCCAUAGCUUUCAUCAUUAAAAGAGGGAGCUUUGGCAGGGGCCUCCUUUCUUACUCCAGCAUCGCCCUGAUGAUGAGAGGCUCUGCCUGCCAGAAUGUCCCCUCACAUGAGCAACGAAGGAAGCGCCAGGAGUUCUGCUCUCCUUUGCGUCUUGAAUUCCAGAAAUUCUGCCGGGUUAAAAUCAGAACGAGUCUAUGGCAUCUGAAUGAAGGGUUAUGCGCUGUGUUUCAAAGGCCUGUGAGGAUUCGGCAAGGCUUUUGCAAGAAGUGAACCCUCUAUAGUCGGUCUCUGCUGUAUUUCACACCCCUUGCUUUUUAUGCACCUCCAGAAAAGUGUUAGUGGUACUCAAAGUGGGAUAUUGGGUUUGGCUGACAAUAAAAUAAAGUAACUCACAGAACAA